rnacentral:rRNA from 1 species
UACGUAGGGGGCUAGCGUUGUCCGGAAUCAUUGGGCGUAAAGAGCGUGUAGGCGGUCCGGUAAGUCCGCUGUGAAAGUCGGGGGCUCAACCCUCGAAUGCCGGUGGAUACUGUCGAGCUAGAGUGCGGAAGAGGCGAGUGGAAUUCCUGGUGUAGCGGUGAAAUGCGCAGAUAUCAGGAGGAACACCUAUUGCGAAGGCAGCUCGCUGGGACGUAACUGACGCUGAGACGCGAAAGCGUGGGGAGCAAACAGG